AUGUCAUUCACAUAGAGGCACCCCACUUUAAGCUAUUGUAGCGAUCAAGUGGGACGGACCGCGGAGGGCAUAAAGACACCACAUGCUUCACAUUUUUCUUCACCUCUCUGGGUUUGUCCAAUAGAAGUACUUACAUUUUACUUACUUGCUCCCAUUAUACUUUUCUUUCAAAGCUAUACAGUUUAGUUGCAAUACCAUAGGCGGGCUGCUGUAUUUGGUUCUCCCUAUUACCAUACACCU